CAAGGAAUAGUUUAAUUAGAAUUUCAGCUUUGGGUGCUGAGGGUGGGGUGUAAGCUUCUUCCUUGA
rnacentral:tRNA from 1 species